CUAUUUGCCACCAGUAUGUAUCAAGGUCUCUCUCCCUCUCCUCUCUAUGUCCAGUUCGAUCAGUUUGAGUCGACCAUUGGCUUCAAACUCCACAACCACCGCGCUGCCAAGAGGCUUUGGAAGGUCUGCGUGGAGCACCACGCCUUCUUCAGGCUCCUUUCUCCUGAGGAACCGCAGAAGAAGUUCGCCCUGGGCUCUAAGUUCCGUUACAGCGGUAGAACCCAGAUCCAGUCUCGGAGGGCCAGCUCCCAGAUCGCCCGACCGGCGCCCUACUUCCUGCGACUCUCCAGCAAGAGAUACACCAUGAGCCGCAGUCUGGACGGAGAUGCCACGGUCAGCCCAACUCAAACUCUGAGUGGCUCUCCAGCGGUAGUAGCGCCCCCUGUGGCCGACUGCAGAACACUCUCAGACAUGGGCACCGGGCUGUACAGAGGAUCUAAGGGCCACGCUAUGAGUGACCUGCUGCCCUCCAGGUCCUCCAUGAGGUCAGAGGAGGAGGUGGCCGUGGUCCUACCAGUGGUGGAAGUGGUUCAGCAGAACGACACGAGGAAAGAAGAGGAGGAGAAGAGAAGGAGAGAGGAGAAGAGGAGGCGAGAGGAGGAGAGGAAAGAGAAGAAGAGGAGGAGAGAGGAGGAGAGGAGGAGGGAGGAGGAGAGGAGGAGGGAGGAGGAGAGGAGGGAGGAAGAGAGAUUGAGAGAGGAGGAGAGGAGGAGAGAGGAGGAGGAGAGGAGGAGAGAGGAGGAGAGGAAGAGAGAAGAGGAGGUCUUACAGACAGACGAAGACAAUACUAGAGCUACGGAAACUCAGAACAGCCCAAAGCUUCAGACUGAUCUAACAGACACUGGAAUAGAUGGAGACCUCACAGCCACAGAGUCAGAUGAUGACUGGAGAACACAGGAGAGUCCGGAGGAGGUGCAGGGCCACACGUCCACCAUCCAGGCCCUGCGACGCUCCUUCCUGGAGGAGACGGAGGGGGGAGGAGGAGCAGGAGGUCCGACUGAGUGGGAGAAACGCCUUUCCAACUCUCCUCUUCGUAGGCAUGACGACGCUCCCAUGAUAGAACCCCUGGAGCCCGAGGAGAUACCAGAGGAGGAAGUUCAAUCCACCAUUGAUGAGAACCAGCCCCUCCCACCUGACAGCAGCUUAACUGUGCUAGGCCAACAGCCCGUUUCAGAGGAGAUGUCCUCAGAGGUGUCGGUGCCUGCCUCCCACGGCCUGGUGAAGACGUCGGAAAAGGUGGAGACCGUCUUCGUGAAGACUGAGUCACAUGACGAGGACAAGCCAAUGGAAGAGCAGGAUGAAGAGGUUCCCGUGGUGAUGAAGACUCUGACCUAUGAAGCUCCAGGGGUGUGUGCUAACACAGAAACACCACUAGAGGGCGUCCUGAUGAGUUCUCAGACUAUUACUGCAGAAACAGCAAAUACUACGACCACUACACACAUUACUAAGACGGUGAGAGGCGGCAUCUCAGAGACCCGGAUAGAGAAACGCAUCGUGAUCUCAGGGGACACAGACAUAGACCACGACCAGGCCUUAGCGCAGGCUAUCCUAGAAGCUAGACAGCAGCAUCCUGAGUUGUCAGUAACCAAGGUAACCGUCCAUAAAGAGACGGAGGUCUCCUCAGAGCAUCCUCUGCCUUGAUGACAUCACAGGAAUGAAGGCUCACGGCGACGUCAUGGGUGAGGAAGACCGAGGAACCAGUUAAACGGUUUCUACAGCACUCCCCGCUCCCCCUUGACGACUGAAAGCACACGCAUGCUUACUUGUAUAUGCACCAUGUCUCUAUGUAUCUACAGAGUGUAAACCGCUGCUUCAUGCUAGCACACAGCGCACAACGACACGCACAACUCAGUGGGGCUUAUAGAGGGGUGAGGCUAUAGAGGGGUGAGGGUGUAGACGGGUGAGGUUAUAGAGGGGUGAGGCUAUAGAUGGGUGAGGGUAUAGAGGGGUGAUGGGUGAAGAUUUACAGGGUGAUGGGUGAGGUUAUAGAGGGGUGAAGUUAUAGAGUGGUGAUGGUAGUUAUCCUCAGUUUGUUUUAGUUUCCCUUCUUACAUAAUACAGGGUGGAUCCUUAAAUGUACACAUUUAAAAAAGAAUGUAAUCUUCUGUCGGACCUUUGUAUAAGUAGUUGUCGUUACCCAGGUUCUGCCCCCUCUAAUCCCCAGUUGAACACUGCCCCCUAGUGUCAGGUUACAGUUGAACCCCCCUUUACUGUAAGGAUCGGCUUAAAGUUGAACCACGCCCCUUUUAUUCAUGUGACAAUUUAACCAUGCCCCCCCAGUGACUGGUUACUGCUUCCCCAAACUCCUAAUGUCAGGUUUGAUUUAACCACGCCAACUAGUGUCCGAUUACGGUUUGGUCACGCCCCCUAUGGCCAGGCUAACGUUGAACCAAGCCCCCUAUUGAGAGGAUACAGUUUAACCACACACCUAACGUCAUUAUACAGUUUAACUCCGCCCCCUAGUGUCACGUUAGCAUGUAACCACGCCCCCAGUGUCACGUUCAAUUGUAACCACGCCCCAAGUUUCACGUGAGAACGUAACCACGACCCAACUGCGGCCCCUAGUGUCCGGCUACAGUAUAACUAUGCCCCCUAGUGGAAGGUUAGAGUUUAACCAAGCCAAUAUUUAUUAAUUAUUUUAAAUGUUUUCCGAUUUUUUCAUUUGGUUUUUUCUUGGAUUCUAUUAACCAUUAAAAAUGUAUUAACUUCUAUUUAAUCAAAAAUAAAUUAUGCGUACA